rnacentral:lncRNA from 1 species
AUUCUUGUACAGUCUGAAAUCCUAGAAAUGCUAAGAUCUCAGGACAUCUAUGCUAAGCCCAGAAAACACUGACGAGCUUUUCCGUUCCUGGAGGAGGGCAUCCUUAUGACAGUGGCCCUAAAAAAACAGAUGGGAUAUGUUACCAAGUGCAGGAGAAGCACUAGAUUGUGAAGGAGAUAGGUGUCAAUAUUAUCAAAGGGACAACUGUUAUUUGAAGCAGCCAGCAAAUAAGAAGGCCCUGCUUUGCUGCAAUUGCUCUGCUAAAGUGUGCCUUUCAUGAUGUGAAAUCUGAACCUUGGGGAUGGUGUCUUACUGGAAGGCUGUGGGCCGAUGCCAGGUGACAUGAUAGACAAUUACUGGACUAAUUUGCAAAGCGCAUUUCUGAAGUCACAUUUUUUGCUUGACAUGGAUUCCAUCUUCACAGAGAAGCAGGUCCUGAGUUCUUGUCCCGCAUCCAGGAAGAAUGAGGUUAUGUGA